rnacentral:misc_RNA from 1 species
GAAAUGCGAUAAGUAAUGUGAAUUGCAGAAUUCAGUGAAUCAUCGAAUCUUUGAACGCACCUUGCGCCUUUUGGUAUUCCGAAAGGCAUGCCUGUUUGAGUGUCAUGAAAUCUCAAUCCCAUCUGGUUUAUGACCGGGUGUUGGACUUGGACAUGGGCGUCUGCCGGUCAAACGGCUCGCCUCAAAUGACUUAGUGGGAUCGCUCGCAUCCGUGACAGACGUAAUAAGUUUCGUCUUGUCCCUUGCUCUGCGUACGCCUGCUCAGAACCAAGCUGUCUUGCCUUCAUUGGCCUGACGCACUUUUUUUUGACUCUGACCUCAAAUCAGGUAGGACUACCCGCUGAACUUAA